rnacentral:rRNA from 1 species
AGAACGAACGCUGGCGGCAGGCUUAACACAUGCAAGUCGAACGGUUGUAGCAAUACAGCAGUGGCGCACGGGUGAGUAACGCGUGGGAACAUCCCUUUCAGUUCGGAAUAACCUCGGGAAACUGAGGCUAAUACCGGAUAUUCUCUUCGGAGGAAAGAUUUAUCGCUGAAAGAUUGGCCCGCGUCAGAUUAGCUAGUUGGUGGGGUAAUGGCCUACCAAGGCUUCGAUCUGUAGCUGGUCUGAGAGGACGACCAGCCACACUGGAACUGAGACACGGUCCAGACUCCUACGGGAGGCAGCAGUGGGGAAUAUUGGACAAUGGGCGAAAGCCUGAUCCAGCCAUGCCGCGUGAAUGAUGAAGGCCUUAGGGUUGUAAAGUUCUUUUGCCAGGGAAGAUAAUGACGGUACCUGGAGAAUAAGCACCGGCUAACUUCGUGCCAGCAGCCGC